GAUGAACGCUAGCGGCAGGCCUAACACAUGCAAGUCGAGGGAGAAGCCCUUUCGGGGGCAGAAACCGGCGCACGGGUGCGUAACGCGUAUGCAACCUACCUUUCACAGGGGGAUAGCCCGAAGAAAUUUGGAUUAAUACCCCAUAAUAUUAUUGGAUGGCAUCAUUUGAUAAUUAAAACUGCGGUGGUGAAAGAUGGGCAUGCGUCCUAUUAGCUAGUUGGAGUGGUAACGGCACCCCAAGGCUACGAUAGGUAGGGGUCCUGAGAGGGAGAUCCCCCACACUGGUACUGAGACAGGGACCAGACUCCUACGGGAGGCAGCAGUGAGGAAUAUUGGUGAAUGGUCGGAAGACUGAACCAGCCAUGCCGCGUGCAGGAAGAAUGCCUUAUGGGUUGUAAACUGCUUUUAGAUGGGAAGAAUAAGGCGUACGUGUACGUUGAUGACGGUACCAUAUGAAUAAGCAUCGGCUAACUCCGUG
rnacentral:rRNA from 1 species